UGGAAAUUGAGUUCAGUCACCAAAGGCUAUUGUUUCUUCUGUAGCCAAAGGUCUUUUGGAGAAACCUAUCCUUACCUGGAAAGUGAAUCUUGAACUUUAUAGUGACCAAGCAACCCAUUUUACUGACUAGGUGCUCUGAAUGCUCCAGGGAGACAAAGACCUUAAGCAACAUAACCCGAACCUGCAACCUGGAUAUUUUGUCUAUCAGAAAAGAAACCUCCAGAAAGAUUCGCUUCAACUUUGUUGCAACAACUUCUAUAAAGUAUUGGUAACAAACUCUUCAGCAGUCAGACUUUAGGGUAUAAACUCUUGGAUUCACAUGACACAUUUUAAGAAAGCACCAAAUCUCACUGAACCUGUACACCAUCUGAUAACCUGAACAUAAAGAUUUUCUGCAAUUAAAAUAGAUUAACAUUUGGUGAGACAGUUUUCCAAGAUGUCAGGAUUAAGUCUAUUAGAAGGAUAUAGAUUGAGAUGAAUAAUGCCUAAGACAUGUCUCCUUUACCACUCCUUGUUAUUUAAUGUGAUCUCGAUAGAUUCUUUAUCUGUGCAUUCUCUCUUCAAUAUGAGACAUGAGACCUCUGAAAGACCCUUCCUGGAACUGAAGGACAACAAUGUCAUUGAACCUGGGAAUAAACCUGACUCUUAAUCAGCAAUGCUUUCAGAGAAAGAUCUUGAUCAAAAGGGGAAACGUGAAAAUUAAGACAUAAAUCGUGCUUAAAUGGAAUAGGAGCCUAGAAGACUUCUCACACAUGCACAAUCAGCAAAAAGUAGGCCCUUGAUUAAUACAGUUUGUUCGACAUUUCAUUGUAACAUAGAAAAACCAAUCCUAGCUGACAAUGACCAAAGUGACAUUAUUCAAGGACCUGCUUUUGUUCUACAUCAUUCCACUUAAAGUCACAGGUUCCAAUAACUUAUCAGUAAUUUUAAGUAAGGACUUACAGUACAGGACGCAAAAUGCCUUGUGUAGGGUAAAGUAAAAGUAUCAGGCUUUUCUGCCCUCCUGCCAUUAGGACAGAUGAGGGAAACCUGUGGUCCUGAAUGCAUGCCUGAUGGCGGGCACGUGAAGUGGGUACACCUGGGCUGAGAGAAUGAGUUUAUAAGGGCGGCAUCACGGGGACACCAGCAGAAGCCAAGAAUGAACGGAAGAUGAGAGAACGCCAGAGAGCCCAGACAGAAUGAAGUCUUGCUGAGGGCUGGGAGGCCUACCAGCCUCCCGGCCCCCUCAGCACCCCUGCCUGCCAUGUACCUGGUAAAUCCCAAUAAAAGCCUGAAAAAGCCACUGAGAGCUCCAGGACUCCUCCUUUACCCGGUCUCCUGGGUCAGAAAACCUGCCCUGUGCCAUUCCUGCCCCUACACCUUGUAUCUCUGAUGGAAGGAUGUUGCUUCUCGGUCUCAUCAGAAGGAAGGAGACACUUCCCAGUGCAGUACUAACCCCUUUAAAUAGAGGUUAUAUAACAGGGCACCAACUUUGAUUGUAGGAAGA